rnacentral:rRNA from 1 species
CGUCAAGUCAUCCUGGCCCUUACGUGUAGGGCUACACCCCUGCUACAAUGCCGCAUCCAGAGUGCUGCGAACUCGCGAAGGUAAGCGAAUCACUUAAAGUGCGUCGUAGUUCGGAUUGGAGUCUGCAACUCGACUCCAUGAAGUCGGAAUCGCUAGUAAUCGCGUAUCAGAAUGACGCGGUGAAUACGUUCCCGGGCCUUGUACACACCGCCCGUCACACCAUGGGAGUGGGUUGCUCCAGAAGUANAUAGUCUAACCCUCGGGAGGACGUUUACCACGNNNNGANNNNNNACUGGGGUGAAGUCGUAACAAGGA